rnacentral:rRNA from 1 species
AACGAACGCUGGCGGCAUGCCUAACACAUGCAAGUCGAACGAGACCUUCGGGUCUAGUGGCGCACGGGUGCGUAACGCGUGGGAACCUGCCCUUAGGUUCGGAAUAACUCCCCGAAAGGGGUGCUAAUACCGGAUAAUGUCUUCGGACCAAAGAUUUAUCGCCUCUGGAUGGGCCCGCGUUGGAUUAGCUAGUUGGUAGGGUAAAAGCCUACCAAGGCGACGAUCCAUAGCUGGUCUGAGAGGAUGAUCAGCCACACUGGGACUGAGACACGGCCCAGACUCCGCCGGGAGGAAGAGGGGGGGAAUAUUGGAAAAGGGGCGAAGGCCUAACCCCGCAAUGCCGGGGGAGUGAUAAAGGCCUUAGGUUUGAAAACCUCUUUCCCCCGGGAUGAAAAUGACAGUCCCGGGAAAAUAAGCCCCGGCUAACCCCGUC